GCAGUAACGCUCGAAUAAAAAAGUUAAAAGGGCCUAUUUAAGAACGAAUUUCAAGUGAAUGAAAAGUUAUAUUAAGUUUGAUUGAUCCUCUGAAUUAAUUAGUGGAUGCACGAAAUUUGCAGUGAAGUUACUAUUUCGGCCUUUUCAAUUCUUUUAACAAUUAUAAAUAUCAAAACAAAAUCAAAAGAAAGUGUGAAAAAUGAACGAUGAAGAAAAAAAUAAUUGGAGAGUUAAUUAUGUUAUGUUAAAAAAAAAAGCCAGUAGCGGGGUCGGUGAGCAAGAAAGAAAUUCUAAUAUAUAAAUAAGGAGAUGUGGUAUGAUCGCCACAACAACUGUAGGUCACCGAGUGGCUUCCAACGAUAAGGAAAAAACUUGAACUGAUAUCGUAUUAAUCAUUUUUUAAUAAAUGUCAGUUAUAAAUUGUACUGCAACAAUAAACAAAAAACAGUUAUGACAGAGCAACAAACAACGACCACAGGAUUACAGACUCCUUGAUUGGGACAGACACACGAAGACCGUGGCGGGAUAAACACAUGUUAGCACUAAAGGGGGAAGGAUCGUAACAGUUCAACAUAAGAACAACACGUUAAUAAUAAUAUGUAUAAUACCGAUUACAUGUAGGUAUGUUUCUCCAGAAUUCCAAGUGUAAUUAUAAGAGCACGGCCAUUCACUAGUUGAAAAAACACUUUAAAUACGAAAAACUGACACAAUAUAAAGAGGUUAUUCGCUUAUAGUUAUACGGUUGUGUCCGCA
rnacentral:lncRNA from 1 species